ACACACGGGUACACAAUUAGGGUUUCUCAUUCUCAUAGCAUUUUAUCCGCCCCCAUCGAGCUGCUUUCUCUCUAGGCGAUUCAAAAGGAGAUCUAUGGUUUCUCUUGGCGAUGCAAGAUCUGGCUUUCUCAAUGACACCAGAUCAGCGUAUCUCUCUCUAUAUGAAACCCAAUCGACUGAGUUUGAAGGUGGUGAAGGGUUUGGAUCUGCCAAUCAGUGACGUAUGAGCAAGGGGGUGUUUGGAAUGCCAAUUGGUGAUGUAUGAGCAAGAUUUCACAAGAUCUAAAGAUGGCGUGGUGUGUAGUGUUAAAUCCGACGACUACGGUUCCGGUGGUAUAAUUCUCAAGCCGAUCGGUGGCAAUAGACACGAGUUCCGGUUUUAGAUGGUGGUUGAGGUAGGUUCCGACAAACUGAGUUGCAGAUCUAGGUUUCACCAGUUGGCGUAGGCGAUACUACAUCAUCAAAAUGGAUGGUUUCUGAAUGGAGCUCUUGUCUUUUUGCUCUCAGUUUGGAUAACAUCAAUAAUUCGGCCAUUUUUUCUUCCACCUCUUGUCUUUUUUUUUUGAAUUGAGAGGGUUUAUCAGUUUUAAGUCAUUUACAACAACAGUAUGGCUUCAGUUACUUUGAAAAAGAACUACCACUGUGUUAAGUCUUUGCAACAGUUUUACUCAGGCGGACCGUACGCGGUUUCUUCAGAUGGAUCAUUCAUUGCUUGUCAUAGCUGUUAAAUCCACCAUUGAAGGGGAUUCGGAGUCUUCAAAUGCUUCCAUUAAAUCCACCAUUGAAGGGGAUUCGGAGUCUGUUACAGCUAUUGCUCUUAGCCAUGAUGACAAAUUCCUCUUUAGCGCCAGUCACAGCCGUCAAAUUAGUAUGUGGGAUCUUUCUUCACUUAAAGGCUUGCAUUCUUGGAAGGGUGGUCAUCAGGGUCCAAUAAUGGCGAUGAUACGUCACGCUUACGGUGAAAGUGAAUUGCAAGGGCAUUUCUGUACACAUUCCUUUAAGGGUCAUAAAGGGGUUGUGACAAGUGUUAUUUUUCAUCCUGACCCAACUUGUUGGCUGCUUUAUUCUGGAUCUGAUGACACAACUGUACGCGUUUGGGAUGUGUUGCAACCUUAGAAAGACAUCGUUCAUAUGUGACAACCGUUGCAAUAACAGAAGAUGGGGGAACCUUGUUGAGUGGUGGCAGAGAUCAGGUUGUAAACAUGUGG